rnacentral:rRNA from 1 species
UACGAAGGGGCUAGCGUUGCUCGGAAUCACUGGGCGUAAAGGUGCGUAGGCGGGUCUUUAAGUCAGGGGUGAAAUCCUGGAGCUCAACUCCAGAACUGCCUUGAUACUGAAGAUCUUGAGUUCGGGAGAGGUGAGUGGAACUGCGAGUGUAGAGGUGAAAUUCGUAGAGUAUUCGCAAGAACACCAGUGGCGAAGGCGGCUCACUGGCCCGAUACUGACGCUGAGGCACGAAAGCGUGGG